rnacentral:rRNA from 1 species
GAUCAUGGCUCAGGAUGAACGCUGGCGGCGCGCCUAACACAUGUAAGUCGAACGGCACCCACCCUCGGGUGGAAGCGAGUGGCGAACGGCUGAGUAACACGUGGAGAACCUGCCCCCUCCCCCGGGAUAGCCGCCCGAAAGGACGGGUAAUACCGGAUACCCCGGGGUGCCGCAUGGCACCCCGGCUAAAGCCCCGACGGGAGGGGAUGGCUCCGCGGCCCAUCAGGUAGACGGCGGGGUGACGGCCCACCGUGCCGACAACGGGUAGCCGGGUUGAG